GGAACGGAACGUGAACGUGAACAUGAACGUUGCAAUCGUUCGAGGGCCUCUGGCUCGCUUUUUGGCAGGCCGCACGGCCAGUCGUCAGUCAGUUGGCCAACAAACUGGUAGCGUCUGGUGUGGCGAGCCAACAAAAGGCUGGCAGGGCGGCCAACACCGGACCCGGCCCGAAUCCAAAUCGGAAUCCGGGUCCGGGUUGUCCGGGCUGGAUCCGCAUCUACGGGCUGCACGGCUGCCAAUUGAGCGGAGUUUGGGUCUCAAUUUGACGCGUAGCCAGCCAAGAAGAGUGGCCGGCCAACAACAAAAACAGGUGACGCAGGAUGUGGCCAAACGGCCAAAGGAGGAGGAUGGCCAAGAGGAGGAGGAGGAGGAAACGCAGCGCACUUUUUUGGCCACGGUCCGCGUUUGAUUAGCCAACUCAAACAUCAGGGCCAAGAUCAGGGCAAUUGACAGCUCUCUCUCCAUUUGGCACAGUCGCAGCACACACAGUGUUUUACGGUCACGGAUGGGCCACAGUGGAGCCUGGGCAGUACGCAACACCUGACGCUGCCCGCCCGGAUACUCACGUCCGUCUCGAUUAUACAGCAAAUAAGAAAACGUAAAUAAACAAUUAAAAAUAUGGAGUAUUUGCUCCGCAACUGCCAACAACAGCGACAACAACCAGUUGCUCUGCGGUGCAGAAGCGAGUGUGUAACAGUGUGUGCCUUGUGAACUGACCAACGUGCCAAAAGUGAAGGGAGGAGGUGGGAACUCUGGCUCGGACCCAAGCAACAAGAACAACUGCGAUUUGGCAGGAGCUGAUUGUUUCAUCUGGCCAGGCUUAAUGAAAGGACUCGUCCUGGCCACAGCCGCAUGUCAAACGCAGUCGGGCAAACACCAGCGGAGCCCCAAAGGAUAAGCAUCGCCACAACAACGGAAUCUCCACCGGAGGAUGCACCACAAAAAAUGUUGAUUCUAAAAUAUUCAACCAUGUAAAAUAAACUAAACUAAACGUUACUCAAAGGACUAAGAUCCCAAGCAGGAGCCUUACCAUUAGCUCAACAAAGAAAACAACAAAAUAUUUAAACAUAAAAUAACUACAUUUCAAAGGAUUGUUCAACAUCCUUUAAGAAAGCAUAAUAAAACUGAAACCUAAAAUGACAUAAAAAUUUAAAAUAAAAGUAAACAAACCUUUGACUCUUAAUAAAAGUUAAAAUAUAGAAAAAACAAAAAAAAAAUAAAUACCCAAACUAUAACUAUUUUUCAAAUAGUUAAAUUAGUGCUUAAUCCCCAUAUGAAUCAUAAUCGCAUACAAAAACUAUAACUUACCAAACCUAAAAUGAGCAAAUAUUAUAUAACCCCCAAAAAUAUGAUGUUAUAUAGACAUACCAACAUAUAAAAAUAAUAAUGCAAUAGUCAAAUGGAUUAAAAAUAGUGCAAUACAAUACGUCUAUAAUCCAACGUCAAAAGUUUUAUAACGCAACGAUAUUAUUUUAUAAUAAGCACUUUCAAACAAUUAUAUAAAAUUUAAAUCAGCGCGGGAAGUCUUCGGCAUGGUAAAAGCAUAAGAUGUAAAUCACAGCAAAAAAGAGAGGAUAGAUUAAUAGCGAAUGAAGAGAAAGGAGUGGAAAACAUCUGAGCGCGGAAAAGUGCUGAAAAUGGUGAGUAGAGCAGCUGAAGGCCCAAAGGAAGCCUCGUUGGCCAAUUGAGGAGGAGAGACCCAGAAAGUCGAGCCGAUUUUCCGCUGCAACCGCCGAAGGUCUGACCAACCAAUGGCAACGCACGGCGGCGACGAAGCCCGGCCAAAAGGGGGAGUUCCCGGGAAAUGGGGGGAAAACUAGCCGCCCUGCAAUGCAUUUCUUUGGCAACGUAUCAAGCGGCCUCUCACACACACACACACACACA